UACGUAGGGUGCAAGCGUUAAUCGGAAUUACUGGGCGUAAAGCGUGCGCAGGCGGUUUUGUAAGUCAGAUGUGAAAUCCCCGGGCUUAACCUGGGAACUGCGUUUGAAACUACAAGGCUAGAGUGUGGCAGAGGGGGGUGGAAUUCCACGUGUAGCAGUGAAAGGCGUAGAGAUGUGGAGGAACACCGAUGGCGAAGGCAGCCCCCUGGGUUAACACUGACGCUCAGGCACGAAAGCGUGGGGAGCAAACAGG
rnacentral:rRNA from 1 species